GGUUUAUUUUGGUUUAAAAUAUUUCUAUGAAAUUAAUAAUUUCUUAUUCCAGCAAGCCUUUAUUCCACUGAAUAAUAAUGUGAUCCCUCAGGUGGUCCUCCGUUAGUCUGUUCCUCUUAUUGGUGAGAAGGUCCUUGAAAAUGCUUAUAGUUGUUUUUUUGCAGUCCACGGAUGUGAUACGGGCCCAGUUGAAGCACGCUAUGAUGUUGGGAUUCUGCAUCACGCAAGACACAUUCUCAACAGAGAACACUUAACAAAUAUUAAUCAUAUUCUUAAAUUGUGGGUUCUUUUUUAGUAUCUUUUCCUGCUUUUGAGCAAACUUGGGAAUGGUCAGGCUCUGACGGACCUUUUUACUAAUGAAAAAGUUCUGGACAAGAAAUAUUCUUUUUUGGAGCUGAGUGAUGCUCUUCUUAAGGACCUUGAUGUUUUACUUUAUUAUGCGAGGUCUUGGGCAAGAGAAAAAUCCUGAAAAAGCUUAUUGGACUCUUCGAUGGCCCUGCUCUCGUCGUCAGGCAUUUGAUGAAUAAACUCCUUAGCGGUGAAAAUUUUUUUGCAGUAGAAGAAGGCUGCCCCAAACCAUUAUCAGUAUCAGAGUCAGUUCACCAUAAAAUUAUUUAUGAUUUUAAAGCUUCUUCCUGCUCUUUUGUCCACACAAAAACGUUUUUGCUACAUAAUAAUGGUCGUAAUGGUAUUGUUAAUUUCGGAAUAUCUUUAAAAAACCCAUCCAUCUGAUUGACCAUCUCAAAGAUGAACCUUUUUUGACCCUCAUUACAUGAUUCUUGAAGUUUUAGGUGUAUAUCAAAAUAUCGUCUACCAACUUUUUCAUGUUAUUAAGGCUACCCUAUGCUUGGUCAACCGUAUGAUUAAAAACAUCAAUAAUUGCAUUUAUUCCCAUCGGCUAUAUUUUGAAGAUAUUUCUUCCUUAAAGUGUAAUAAAAGUCGUUAAUUCCUGACUAUCACAAUAUCAGUUAUCGGCCAAUAUCCCUUUAUGGCGUCAAAAACGGUGAGGUAUUUAUUACGCAAUGAUAUAUUGGAACUAAUAGCCUAAGAACUUAUCAUUGUAUGUGUAUAUUAUAUAUGGUCUUCUUACUAAUUUAUUUAACUUAGUGAAAUCGACAGUAAUUCUUAUGACUCCACUUUUCUCUUCAGCUGCUAUUAGAGGGUAACAUCAUACUGUUGGCUUGAUUCCUAGUUGUACAAUGAUACGUUUUUUUACAAUAUCAUCCAAAAAAAAUUAGUUGCCUCUCUUUGUGGAAAAGGUAUCGUUCUUGUAUUACACAAUUUAUAAGGUAUAUGAAUUUUCUUUUAAUGAAAUUUUUAUUGGUUCGAACUUCAUUUUCUUCAUUGGCCUAUAUCCUUCCAUGAUAGCAUAUUAAUAUUUAAAAAAAAAAAAAUUCCGUACUUUUUCUAUCUCUUCUAAUGUAGGAAUAUUUUCUCCAUUCACCUUACUAAUCUCUAUAGCAUCCCGCUUUAUCUAACAAUCUGAAUCUAAUUGUACAGGGUAAUCCUCAAGUAAUAUUUUCAAUUCUUUACAGGUCUUCCAUGAGAGCAGCAUUCCAACAUUUUCAGUAACAACCAAUUCUUACACUUCCGAUCUAUAGCUGAUGUUAAGAUUAAUCUUUUCUAAUAUUGUGAACAAAUUUCUGGAUCCUCCACUAAUACAGCUAACUUUAAAUUAUUUCAGCAUUUUUUGAAUAUUAACUCAUCCUUUGAAGGAAUUAUUGAACGGUUAUAAUAAUUUCCUUUCGUGAAUCCUGUACGGCCUGGUAACUUCCCUUUAUAAUACCACCUUUGUUAUUUAUUUUUACCUGAACCAUGGGAGAUUUUUCAAAAUUUCUCAAUCGUCUUACGGUGACGCUGUUAUUUUUCAUUUUGUUAAAGUAAUCUCCUUUCCCACAAAUUCUUCUGUAGCUAAAAUGGGCUAUUUUCUUACAAAUUUUACAUUCUUUUUCCCAGGCAGGAAACUGUCUUCUAAGACGAUUUUGUGAACAAAAUCUGCAUUCUACAUUUUCCUUCAUGUCCCAUUGUAAAGUCGUUCUUCUUUUCCUUGUAUUCUUCAUAUCGAUUUCUUAUCCUUUGUCUCAUUAAAUUUCCGGAUAAUAUCUCCUUAGAGAAUAUAGAGGUUAUUUUCCUUUUCCUUUCGAGGGAAAUUACUUCUGAACCCAGCAACUAACUUCUGGAAGGUUUUACGAAAUGCCUUUGCAGUAUCCUCUUCUAAAGUUUUAAACCCAGUGUGAUCACCAAGAGAUUUAGAAACCAAGAACGGAACUCCUCUAUUUGAAUCCGAGCCGGUAAAAAAUAGUUAAACUGUCUUUCUAAGACAGAAGACGCAAUCAUCCUUUCAUGACGAGAUACUUUAGCUUUGAUGUCCUGAAGACAUAUAAUAUCUGGAUAAAAUGAUAAUAAUCUUUUCAUUAAAGCAUGGCGUGGCAAGCGAUUCUUGGCCCUCCCUUAUUUAGCGACAGAAUCUUUCCAAAGCCCAUAUUCUUUUCAAUAUUGUUAUUAUUAAAGCUACUUUUACCUGUUAUUUUGGUAAUAUUCAUGAGAGAAGAAUUCAAAAAAGAUAAACAAAAUUAAUAAAAGAAAAACCAACCGUCAUUUAAUCAGAGCUCCUCAAUUGCUUAAGGCGGUAGUGAUGGCAAUGUAUCGGGCUUAUUUUGUUUACCAACUGAUUCUGAACGAAAACUCUGGGAUAAAAUGUGUUGUUUAUCAAUAUCAGCCUUUGAGGGUUUAUUUGCCCUUUUCUUUUCAUUUGGGUCCUUAGAGCUACUAAUAUAAUCAUAGAUUGAAUUCCUUCGCAAAUAUUCGAUAAUAUAAUGAUUUUUUUAUUACCAUUUGUCUCUGUCAAAGUUGUGUUUUCGUUUAUUGUAAACUCUUUUUGGUCAGUACAAGUGUUUACUCUUUCAUUUCCUAGAAUGUCUUCUUGACUAGUUGUAUUUCUCCUUCCGUCUGAAUCUAACACAUUACCUGUGUUGUCCUUAGUCAUGUCAACAAUAGUGGAACUAUGAUCCAUUUUUUCACUUUUUUUAUUAUUACCAAUUGCAUUGUCUUUGAAUAAAACUUCUUUAACUGACUUAAGAUAAUAUCCCCACUUCACAAACUGAUUGAUACAAUUUUUUGCAUAGUGACCUGUUUCGUAUCACUUUGGACAUGUAAUUGACUGACUUGCGUAGUUAAUCUUUAAAUCUCUAAAACCUUUAAAUCCAGGAUGGUCACGCUCUGGUAUCAAUCCAAAAACAAAAUUUCGGUUAUUAAAGUCCUUUAAUCUUCCAUCAAUAGAAGCAGUCUCUUUUGCGGGUUUUCCAAUUUCGCCCAAAUCUUUAAAUACAUCAUCUAUUUCAUAGGGCUUAACAUCCUCAUGGGGAGAGUGUAUGGUUAUUUUCUUUUCAAAUUCAAUAGGAUUUCCCGAUUCGUCUUUACAUUGGGCUCUUAACCCUCUUACAACUCCUAUAAUCCCUAUCAUUGGCGUCCCUUACUGGAAAGGUAUAAUCUACGUGAGAAAAGGCAAUACUAAUAUUUCUUUUUUUUUUCAGUACUAUAACCACCAUAAUGCUAGAACCAUGAGAAAUAUGAAUUCCUUGAAAUGAAUGUGUCUAUCUUCAAAAUUCCAAAAAUUAAGUUCUCAACUUGUGGAUCAGCUGGUCGUUAAGGAAUGCAACUUCAUCAUCGCUUGUAAAAGUAAUGAUUAUCUUUCUUUUAAUUGCUUUUGAAGCCAUAUCUUUUUCAAUGCAUUUAAGUAGCUACGUCGUCCACUAGAUGAUUCGUUCAUUAUUAAAACAUAAAUUUCUCGGAACUUUUUUUAUAUGAAGUGAUAAACAAAUUUAUGCAGCCUCUUACCACCUCGUCGAUGUCAAAAUGUGAAAGUGUAUGUCUUAAAUGGCAUAUUGCUCUGAGACGAGAAGAAGUUAAUGUUUCCCCUCUGGAGGCCAUUCACCAUACUCGGUAUUAUCUGAAGAACACUAGAAGAUUCCGGAGUGCUAAGGAAACUCUGGAAUCUGUGGGAGGAAAAAUAUAUCGACAUUUGAAACUAAAUGAAGUCCCAUCUCUAUUUUCUUUGUCACAAAUAAGUAAAAAUCCAGUAAUUUUUGUUUUGUUUUAUCAACAUUGCAAAUGGGGCAAUUUUAAGGUCCCUAAAAAUCUUCCUAAAAAAAUGUAAUUUAUAACUCCACACUUUUUUAUAGAAUGGUAAUGUGGUAGAUAAUUAUCAAUGACAACCGAAUUAUCAUGACUCUGGAUCAAUACUUGGAUGUGUUAGUGAAGGACGUACAAACAGAGAACAUCAAGGACGGUAUUUUAAGUCCCACACAAGACGGAGAUAACCAAUCAGAUCCGUUGACAAAAAAUGAUCAAUAUGUUCAAACUAUCUUUACCAAAGAAGACAUCCUUCGACCUAUGUUCCCAAUCCAAAACGUUUCUAUUAAUUCAUCAGUAAUGUUGCAGAUCAAUGAGCACCCUGGAGUUCCUACAAGAGCAGUAAUACGGUAAAAUUAUGGUAAGAUUUAGUCCAAGAGGUUUGGUCACCUACACAUCACCUGCGUAUCGUGGCUCCUGUAGUGAUCGCCAAAUAAUAGAAAUAUCAGACCUAUUAAAGAAAAAACGAAUGACCUAAGGAGAUAGAGGGAUUAUUGUGCAAAAUUUAUUUACGAAUCAAAAUGUUAAAGUGAAUACUCCAACUCCUAUUACAGGGAUUAAUCAACUUCCGGGAGCAACAAUCAUUAAUGACAGAAAAAUUGCUUCUAAAAGAAUACAUUCCUGAAAUAGUAACCAUAAAUGGAAAUCUAGUCAAUUUGAAAUUUUAAGGGGGGCGUCUGCAAUGUCAAAAUUGCUUUCGAUUCGAACAUGCCAGAGUAAGUUGCAGCGAAUCACGCUUGCAAAUUAUUAAAAACAGUUCAGUUUUAAUACAAAAAAUCAAAGAAAUGAAAAAUAAUGUGAGCGAAGUAUUGCACAGAAAAGAACGCAAGGAGAACAAUAACACUUAUAGGUUGACGGAUGAUAGGAAUCGGAAUGUGCAAAGGAGGAUACUUCCACUUGUUCCGAUUUUGCUAAUCCUCCACUUACAGAGAAGCCACGUCAUGAGUCAACAUAACUAAUGAUUUACAUAAGACUCCGAGCAUCUCUCCCAAUUCAGGAGUGGGUGGAGGGCAAGUAUUAAAAUCGCCAGAAAUUGGAACUCUCAAGAACUCUCUUUGCACUAGUUCAAAAAGAAACAUACUACCGUCCCAAACUAGAUCUGGAUCAAACUCAAAAAGAACAUUAUCAUGUCCCCAGCCGUAACCAAGUACGAAUGUACAAAACAACAAAAGAAAGAAUGAACUUAUCCUGCUUAUCACGUCAACUCACGACAAAGUCUGAGUCGAUAAUAUGACUUAGCAAGACUAAUAGAGUGUGUUCAAUUACCAGACAUUGUCAUUCUAGGUGAUACCAGAUGUAACUUGGAAAACCACUUCUCUAUCCCCCAUGGAUAUAGGUCCUUUUCGUCCUUCAACAAUAAGAGCCCUCACCCAAAGCGUGGAGUAAGUUUGCUCAUAAAAGUGGACCUAAACUCCGAAGUCCACUUUCGGUGUGCUGAAUAUAACAUAAUAAAAGCAAAUUGUCUACCGAGACUCAACUUUGAAUGUAAUUGGUUUACAUGUACCGAAUAUUGAUGAUCCAAAUUUUUACCAGAGCAAAUUUUUACCAAUUAUUUCCCACAUACCUACAAUAAUAGGAGGCGAUUUCAAUGUGAAGCUUAAAAUGAAUAGACACAACUAGCCAGCCCUCAAACUCCCAUCCUCGGUGUACAAAGAUAUUGUUCUCGAUAAUAUCUUCCAUUGGUUUCACGGAAGUUGGCCGAGUAAUGAAGAACCACAGGCAUACCUUCUUCUCAAUAGACAAAAACUCUGUUCUAUUAUCAUCACGUAUCAACUUGUUUUUGAUAAAAGGAUUUCCGAAGGAUUCAAUUAUGUCAUAUGACGUUUUGGAUACUAAAUUGUCAGACCAUAAAACUAUCCAGCUGAUAUUAAAUCCCCAGUUGAAAGAGUUAAAAAGUAAGAGUCCGUGGAUCCUUAAUUGAACCAUAAUAGACGACAACAAAGUUAAUGAAAGGAUAAUAUCCACAAUUCUAGAAACACAUAACGUUUUAAAAAUGGAAGAUACCCUUUUCUGUUUGUUGAAUCAAUGUUUCGAAAAAUCAAAGGAGUGUUUAGGCAAAAAGGAGCUAUUAUGGAAGUUAAGAAACGCGAGUACUUGAACAAAUUGGAAUCGAUCUCAAAUACCAUAUUGUCAGAAGAAAAGAAAGCUAAAUUAGACAAGAUUUACAGAAAGGAUGAUCUGAAAUACAGAACCGAAUUUAAAAUUAAUCAAAUGGACGAUUUAUCACACUCUAGAUUGCAGAGUAUGAGACAAUACAGAUCGAGAAACAAAACAAAAAUUUAAAAUUAUUUGACAGGAACAUCGGACGACCCAAAAGACAUAUGUGAAGAGAUCCACAAGUUUUACUCUAAGCUAUACUCUUUGUACGAUUCCCAAAAUGAUAAAAAGUGCUCGAGAUACGAAACAAAUACGGCUUCGUUUUUGUGAAAACCUGAGGGCUGAAUCAAAUUAUCAGUCCAAGAUAUUAGAAGUGGACAAAGAUAAGACCGAAACUCAUCUAUCAUUUUCGUAAAUUGAAGACGCUAUUCUUAAAAACGCUAAACGGAAUAAAUCUCCAGGGUCUUCAGGCUUCACCUUUGAGUUUUAUAAGAAAUAUGUGAAAAAGUUUUAGCCAUUAGUUUCUUUCCUGAUUUUGCUUCUGAAGGCAGAAUGGUCUUGAUCCCAAAAGGUAAUAAGGAUCUUAGAUAUAUUGAUAACUAUAGACCAUUAACCAUACAAAACUGUCUUUAUAAAAUCUAUUCAUAUGUGAUUGCAAACAGAUUCAAUAAUAUCAAUAACACCUACAUUUAUCCUUCUCAAUAUGGUUUUGAAAGGGUAAACUGAUGGCCAACAAUCCCUUUUCAGUACAAACGAUACUUGAAUCACGGAAUGACAAGACGAUAAUGGCCCUUGAUUUUGCCAAAACUUUUGACUCUUUAUCACACGAACACAUUGUUCGUUCUCUAUAUUGUAAAGGAUUUGGUGACUUUAUGAUAAGGAUGGCUGGAGCAAAUCUAGCAGGUUCCUGUUCUAUCGUCAGAAAUGGAAACCAAGACAUUAUUUAAGAACAAAAGGGGAGUCCGACAGGGUGACCCAUAAAAACAAUUCUUUUCAAUAUCGGCAAAGAUGGAAUUCUGCAAGAAAUUAAUCGAGAUAUUCAAGUUGUUGGGAGGUGUAACCUAUAUAAAACAUAACAAGCACUUGGUGCUCACAUUAUAUAUGCUGUCUUGAAGUCUUUUAUCAAUCAAACAAUACUGUUUAUGUAUUAUUACCAAA
rnacentral:lncRNA from 1 species